CAGAGUUGAAAGACUCCCCACACCAUCGCGAACGUUACCCUUAACCGUUGCUUCGGCGGGCGGUCUCCUCUCUCCCCCCCAUUGGGGGGUUUGGGAACCCCUCGGCCUCCCCUUCGCCGGGGGGGCGCCCGCCGGAGGUCACGCAAACUCUUGAUACCUGAAGGGCCUCUCUGAGUAUUCUGUACUGAAUUAAGUCA
rnacentral:misc_RNA from 1 species